CCAGCCACAUGUGGAGUGUCUGUUUCACACAUUGUACAGUUGUGAGGUGUAGCUCCACCCUGCUCUAUUCUUAUUGGUGGAUCUCAUAAGCCAUAUGACACAUGACGGCCAAUACACAAUGAGUGCACAUUCUAACUUGAUGAGCAGGGGAUUGGCCUAUGUCUAUCAGAGAAAAUAAGCAGGAAGCACAUGUGGAAUAGAAUGCUUUAUGCAGGCUGCGCUGACAGGGAGCAUUUCGACUGACAAAGCACAGAGUAACCCUGAGCAGGAAGUGCAUCUGAAUGAGGAAGAGAGAAGGAUGUUAGAUCAUCUGAAUUAAUGCCGGCCACGAGAACAAUGCGAAUGCUUAAGUGAAAUGGACUCAGAUGCCAGAGGCUAAUUGCAAAACCACAUUGUUCUUUUAAAGCAUUGGUUCUGACAAAGAAAUGAAUAAACUUGUUUGGGGAAGUAAUGAGACAAUACUGUCUGACAAUACUGUAAUCUAAUGAAGCGGAUAUCUGCUGAAAAGGAAACCAGACAGCUGUGAAUGGAAUGAAUAACUGGGUCAUAGUGUUAAUGACAAGCUCUCUAGACCAGACUGGAAUAGGGUUUCGCCCUUCGUGCUGCUGGUGACUCCUGUGUGCUGUCAGGGAAUGUUUUCAGGUUGGGGUGCAGCCGUGCAUUCUGGGAAUUCAGCAUAGCUUUAUUUCACAUGAGGGCUUGACAGGUACCCAAGACACAAGCCCAGUCCUGCACGUUGGAUGAGAAAGCAAAGGAAAACUGGAAACGGCGGGAUUCCAUAUGAAAGCCGAAGGGCAUGUAAGAAGCUUCAAUAAACGAGGGAUCGAUUCCGUCGUGAUGUUAUAAGCUGAGAAAGUUUCAUUCAGCCAGGCAAACGACGACAAGCGAAAUGGACAUCGGCGACAGAGACCUACUGAUGAGUUAAACAUGGAGAGGGUGAGGAUUAGUGGGUCAGGAGGGCGGACGAUGUUGCAUGGCAGCACCAAGAGCGGCUCUCCCCGCCUGACACAGAUGGCAGCAAGGCUGAGGACGCGCGUCCUCAGUGCAUUAAGGAAGAGCAAUGCGGCGGCACAGAAGCCACGAGUCGACCUCGCUGGUCAGACAUGUUACCGGCUACCUGCAAGUCAUCUGUGGGCAUUUGGGACUGCAAGAUGUGCAGACUGGAUGCAUGCAAUGGUGCAGGCAGGAGCGACACAGGCACAUGGGGCAACGGCGCAGAGAAGUGCUAAUUGGCAAAUAAAUAAUACAAUCAACUAUACAUGAAGCAGGAAUGAGUGACGCCCAGGGCAGCUUCUAAUAACUGGAACUUCAGCCUCUCAAUGACAGCGUCAACAGUGGAGGUGAUGGGACAGGUCUGCAUGAAGACCUGCAUGAAAUAACCUGGAGGCUCAGAUACCUAUACUCUGCUCUGCUGCCCCGGUCCUCCAGCAUGCUGCUCAAUUGAACUGGUGUCUUAUAAAUGCCCUGCGAAUAGACUGGCAUCCUGGCCUGUGCCCCAGGCCCCUUGGGACAGGCCCUGAGAGCAUUGUGACCUUGAACUGGGGUCAUAUAAUUCAUGGAUUUUAAGGGGAAUAGAGCACAACUCCUUCUGGAAUGAUUAUCUGUCUUGCUAUGCCAUGAUAUGGAUCGGAUACUAAGGGAUUACUCCGAACCCCUGGGCCCUAAGACACCCGGAAGCCCCCCCCCCCCGGCGGGCCAUGUGACCUCAGGGGCCUGCCCCAUCACGCCUCCCAGGCACCAGCCAGCAUGUCACGACAGCCCUGGCGCUUAGCACAG